rnacentral:rRNA from 1 species
GAUGAACGCUGGCGGCGUGCCUAAUACAUGCAAGUCGAGCGAACGGACGAUAAGCUUGCUUCUCUGAUGUUAGCGGCGGACGGGUGAGUAACACGUGGAUCACCUACCUAUAAUACUGGGAUAACUUCGGGAAACCGGAGCUAAUACCGGAUAAUAUUUUGAACCGCAUGGUUCAAAAGUGAAAGACGGUCUUGCUGUCACUUAUAGAUGGAUCCGCGCUUCAUUAGCUAGUUGGUAAGGUAACGGCUUACCAAGGCAACGAUGCGUAGCCGACCUGAGAGGGUGAUCGGCCACACUGGAACUGAGACACGGUCCAGACUCCUACGGGAGGCAGCAGUAGGGAAUCUUCGGCAAUGGGCGAAAGCCUGACGGAGCAACGCCGCGUGAGUGAUGAAGGCCUUCGGAUCGUAAAGCUCUGUUAUUAGGGAAGAACAUAUGUGUAAGUAACUGUGCACAUCGUGACGGUACCUAAUCAGAAAGCCACGGCUAACUACGUG